CCUACGGGUGGCAGCAGUCGAGAAUCAUUCACAAUGGGGGAAACCCUGAUGGUGCGACGCCGCGUGGGGGAAUGAAGGUCUUCGGAUUGUAAACUCCUGUCAUAUGGGAGCAAAUUAAAAUGAGAGUACCACAAGAGGAAGAGACGGCUAACUCUGGGCGAGCAGCCGCGGUAAUACAGAGGUCUCAAGCGUGAUUCGGAAUUACUGGGCGUAAAGCGUGCGUAGGCUGUUGCGUAAGUCGGGUGUGAAAGGCGCGGGCUCAACCCGCGGACGGCAAAUGAUACUGCGAGACUAGAGAAAUGGGGGGGGAACCGGAAUUCUCGGUGUAGCAGUGAAAUGCGUAGAUAUC
rnacentral:rRNA from 1 species